UUGGCUGGACCUGAAGUCUCCUUCUUUUAUUUAACAGUAGUCUAUUACAUUCCUCUGGAGCUAGCUCGCUUCCUGUGGCAUUCCAUCAUCAUGUCAAUAAAAUGUGAUCAGAAUAAAGAAUAUGGUGUUCCCAAAAAGCAGAACUUGCUUUUUCUUUUCUUCAUGGGACAACUUUCCCUAGCCUCUGCUUGUUUGAAUGCCUGUAACUCGCUUAAAGGAACAAGAAACACCAGCCCACCACUAACAAAAUGAAGUCUUAUGUAAGGCUAUUUUUACAGUAAGAAGAGAAAGACAAGUUUGCACAAAAGAACAGAUAGAGGAAAUAAGAAAUUGUACCUUGACUAUUCUGCAGCCUCCAGGAUUCUUCAAGGAAACUGGUACUAGGUUUGUCCAUGGCAUUGCACAUGUUGGGAUAUAUGUGUGUGUUGAGAAGGCAAAAAGAAGUCUACUUUUCAUGCUUAAUGCCCAGUGAAUGUUAGUGUAUUAUACAGUUA